GGUCAGGAUGAACGCUAGCGACAGGCUUAACACAUGCAAGUCGAGGGGCAGCACGGGAGUAGCAAUACAACUGGUGGCGACCGGCGCACGGGUGAGUAACGCGUAUGCAACCUACCUAUCAGAGGGGAAUAACCCGGCGAAAGUCGGACUAAUACCGCAUAAAACAGGGGCACCGCAUGGUGAUAUUUGUUAAAGAGAUUCGCUGAUAGAUGGGCAUGCGUUCCAUUAGGUAGUUGGUGAGGUAACGGCUCACCAAGCCGACGAUGGAUAGGGAACUGAGAGGUUGGUCCCCCACACUGGUACUGAGACACGGACCAGACUCCUACGGGAGGCAGCAGUGAGGAAUAUUGGUCAAUGGGCGGGAGCCUGAACCAGCCAAGUCGCGUGAAGGAAGAAGGAUCUAUGGUUCGUAAACUUCUUUUGCAGGGGAAUAAAGUGCAGGACGUGUCCUGUUUUGUAUGUACCCUGAGAAUAAGGAUCGGCUAACUCCGUGCCAGCAGCCGC
rnacentral:rRNA from 1 species